rnacentral:rRNA from 1 species
CACGUAGGGUGCGAGCGUUGUCCGGAAUUAUUGGGCGUAAAGAGCUCGUAGGCGGUGUGUCGCGUCGGCCGUGAAAACCUGCAGCUUAACUGUGGGCUUGCGGUCGAUACGGGCAUCACUGGAGUUCGGCAGGGGAGACUGGAAUUCCUGGUGUAGCGGUGAAAUGCGCAGAUAUCAGGAGGAACACCGGUGGCGAAGGCGGGUCUCUGGGCCGAUACUGACGCUGAUGCGCGAAAGCCAGGGGAGCGAACGGG